GAGUCGUGCACACAAGGUGUUGCCAAAAGUGGGAAAAAUGGGGAUUGCAGGAUGAAAAACCAAGGUUAAUGAUUGCUAAGAUAAUGUUGACUUCAAACAGGCCUGUUUUGUCCCACGUGCAUGGGAGUAAAUGUGCAUAAGGAUGGGCUGCUAGAAGACAGAGGAAGCCACGCCCAGGCCCACCAACUGAUUUCUAGAUACUUGCUGCCGUGUUCCAGCCUGCCAGCUCGACUUCUAGU